AAAAGCAGGUUUCUAGGGGUAGAGCGCGUUGUCACUUAACUUGCUAGCCUUAACUUGUACAGGCUAUUUUGAAGACCUUAAACAAUGCCAGCGGUUGAAUUAGUUGACAGACCCAGUGGAAUGUGUAGCCAUUGCAUAUAUAUGCGAAUUAGAAGGACUAGUAAAUAGUUUUCAGUCAUUUCUGUUAACUACAGCCAGUAAAAUGAAUCGAGGAAAAUCCAUCAAGAGAAAGCUUUGGCGAGAGGAGGACAUGCUUCAUGCUCUUGAAGACGUGAGGUCUGGCAUGACCAUAAGGAUGGCGUGCAGAAUCUUCAGUGUCCCUCGAACGACCUUGGCUGAUAGGGUGAAGGGCCGUGUGGUCCACGGGUCCAGAGGUGGACCAAAAGCAUUACUUUCAGAGAAGGAUGAGAAUGAUCUUGUGCAGUACUGUCUCUACUGUGUCCAAUUUGGGUUCCCUUUCACCAGAAAACAAUUGUUAGCCUUUGCCAGUUCUAUAAGGAAGAUAAGAAACCCAGACAGUACCGGUGUAGUUGGGCGCAGGUGGUGGAACUGUUUCCAAAAAAGACACAAAAACAUUCAGACUCUAUGGAGUUCAGACAAAUUUCAUAAAAGGAGGACAAAGCGUGCUACUAGACGUAGACUGGAGCAGUACUUUGAACUUCUCAAACAUACGUUAGAAGAACAUGGACUUGAGGACAAACCAAGGCAAAUAUACAGCUGUGAGGAGUCUGGAUUUAAACUGGACAAGAACUAUCAGAAGGUUUUGGCAGGCAAGGGAGCGAAAACUGUUCACCAGCACGCAAAUGGGAAGGAGAACAACAUGUCUGUGUUGGUGUGUUUUAGUGCUGCUGGGGAAGACGUCCCACCAUUUUGUAUCUACUCAGAGACAUAUCCCGUUAGUCCACAUGCCUUAUGUGACAUAUCCCUGUCUGGAUACGUUGAUGGGGAAUCGUUUCACAAAUGGUUCAGCCAUUUUGUGAAACAUGCAGUGCAGGAGCGGCCCCUCCUCCUUAUACUCGAUGGGCACAAAAUCCACAUAAAUCUGGAACUGGUAACAGAGGCAAAGAAGGAAGGUAUUGUACUUGUAUGCCUUCCCCCAAAUUCAUCUGAUACCUUACAGCCAUUAGACAAGUCAUUCCUUGGGCCUCUGAAAUCACGGUUUGCCAAGUUGUGUAGAAAGGUCUGCCAUGCUAACGAGUCUGUUGUGGUGGAUAAGAGCCAUAUUGCCAGACUCCUCCAUCAACCCUACGAAGGGCUGAAAAAGAAGGCGGCUGUUGUAAAAGGCUUUAAAAGGUGUGGCAUCUAUCCUCUGAAUCCAGAUGCUGUGGAUUACAGCCAUAUCGGCCAGUCAUCUUCUCAAGAACCAUCUGCCGAUCGGACAGAAGAUCUACUCUCCUCCGAGGAAAUGCUCUGCUCUUCUUUCUCGAUUUCUGCUCCCCCUAAGACACCAAAGAAAGGAAAGGAUGUUCAUCCAAAGUCCCCUAGAGGACCAGGAGUCGCAUCUUACAGUGUUUUGUCAAGUGACGAGCAUGUAAACCUAAUCCUUGAAAGAGAGGUUAUAUCUGUGAGUGACCAAAAAGUGGCUGCAGGGGAGUGGGUUGUAUAUCAGGAGUCAAAAGAGACUAAAGAAUCCUCCAUAGAUGGUUGUCAACCUUUGGGAGAACAAAUAAUAUCUACUGACAGCACAGUGGUGCCAUAUUGGCAAGAAGACCUGUGGAGUGCACCCAUUGAAAACGAAACCAUGAUACAGGUCUCAUCCAUGGGAGAGAUGGCUCUCCAAAAUACAGAUGAGGUUGAAGAAACUGUAGAACAGUUCAACUCUGAAAUGGAUAUGACCGCAGACGGAGAGGAGUAUGUGCUGCCCAAUGAACAGGGGAGAAAAGAGACUGAGGCACAACCGGAGUCAGCACCUCUGAACAAAGGCGACUCUAUUGUGAGAAAAAAAAGGAAGAAUUGGCGUGAUGAAGACAUGCUGCAAGCCCUUGAAAAGGUGGAGGGUGGGAUGACCGUGAGGGAAGCUUCCAGGAUCUACAGCGUUCCCCGAGGUACUUUGAGGGAUAGAGUUAAAGGACAGGUCGUACACGGCACCAGACCAGGCCCUAAAAACUUGCUCUCGGGAGAGGAAGAAGAGGAGCUGUUCGACUAUUGUAAGUACUGUGUAAAAAAUGGUUUCCCAAUCUCCAAAGCCCUCUUCAUGGCUGCUGCUGUGUCUUUGAGGCAUCGGAAGAACCCGAAGAACCGUCCACUCGGGAAUAGGUGGUGGACGGGUGUUGUAAAGAGGAAUCCUAACAUCCGGGAGAUGAUUUUUGACCACCGUAAAGGGUGCAGACCAGUGGACCAGUACUUUGAAGUUUUUUCAAAAACCUUACAGGAACUAAGGCUAAAGGACAAACCAGGACAGAUUUACAGCUGCUGUGAGUUGCCAGUGAUGUGCGACCAGGAUAAACACAAAAAGCCAGGCCUAAGCGAAACAAACACAAACUUUGUGUCGGUACUGAUGUGCUUUAACGCGGCAGGGGAUCAUAUCCCACCCCUCAAUAUCUACCCAGAGACAUUUCCACGUGGCCCCUACAAGUUUGGAGGUGUCUCGAACGCCCUAUACGAGAAGUCCCCCACAGGACACGUCAACGAGAGUGUCUUCCACAAAUGGUUCAAGCACUUCGUGAAACACGCUGUGCAUGAGCGCCCUCUCAUCCUGUUGUUCGACGGUCACAAAUGUCCCGCUCCUCUUGAAGUUGUCGCCGAGGCGAAACGGCAACGUGUCACACUUGUGUGCCUUCCUGAGCAAUACUUGAAGGCUCCGCUGAGCGUCUCGUUCCUUGGAUCUCUCCAGUCGAAAUUUGCCAGAGCUGCACAGGAUGCCUCCAACCUCAAGAACUCGUACAUGGUGGAAAAGACGAUGUUCGCCAUGGUGUUCCGUAAGCCGUACGAGGAGCUCAAGAAGAAGAAGGUGGUGGUGGAGGGCUUUAAGACUUCAGGCGUCUACCCUCUCAGUUCUGAGGGACUGCGUCAUGGCAAUCUCGCACCACCACAGUCGAAGAACCCGUGCUCUUCUGCCAAAGAUCCACCCACUUAUUAUUGUUCUCAUGCCCUUCUCAGGACGAGUGCCCCCCCGACCUCACCCCCGCUGAAGCACGUAGACCACCCACUGGUGACAGCGCGCAUGAUUCAGCCCGAGGUGGUUGUGACCCUGACCCCCCCCAUCGAGUUUGAAAAGAAGACCGGUAGAAGGGUGAAAGCCGUGGCGAAGGUACUCACGACAAGUGACAAGAACAAGAAGGAAAUGCACAAGACUGUGAAGACCAAACAAGCUUCACAUUUCAAAAAACUAAAUGCGCUUCCUAUACAUGAUAAAUCCCUGGAGAAAAAGUCCAGGUCCGGUAGGGGGCAGACCAGGGUGAAACGAUCCAACCCUUUAACAGAGAGGGAGGUGCCAUCUGUAAUGAAGAGGUCACCUCCAAAGAAACCGAAAAGAGUUGAGCUGGAGGACAUGACGGAAUGAUCCAUUUCUCCUCAGAAGCAGUGGUCCGACCUGGGAAUGUGUUGAGUUCAACUGAGAUUAGAACCAGAACAUCCUGAAUUAUUCAGGAAAGACUUGACAACCCCAAGUAAAUACGGUGCAGGUUUGUUGCAGAGAGAACCGUGCAUGUCUCUCAAGAGGAGGAAAAUAUUACAGACAGGACAAGGGUCAAAUGAACAGCAGAGCAGGGUACAGCAAUCACUCAUUUUCAAAAAUGAGAAGACUGAAUCCGCAGCAGAGAGAUACCAUACAAACUAAUCGGGAAAUGGAUGAGAUGGAGAACCUGGCCAAACCAUCCACAGCUCUGAAACGACAGAGGCUGUAGAUGAGAACAUUUGCAAAGACACUUGACAUGUCAUCCAGAGACUCUUAAAGCACCCAGAAACAGGUGAAUGCCUCCAGGAAAGAGAGGAGAUGGAAGAGAGAGGAUCUCCCUCGUCAUCCCCACACUAGUGGUUUGUCCCAAGAGGCAGGACUUCACUAUACUAGCAUAGAAUCGGUGACAACAAAGGGAGGGAACUGUUUAUAAGAUGUAUAUAUGUAAUGUAGACAUAAGUUUUAUUCAAAGAUGGUUUUGAAGAAUUUUUUUUAGAAGCAAAUAUAGAUCAUUAAACAAUGAAAAACCAAGAGUACACGAGCUUCAUUAGUGAGUUCUAGUUGUGUUCAUUUGAUUUACAACGGACUUACAUCAGAUCAACUACAAUAUUUAAACUCUACACCUGAAUUAGACGAGUUUUUUUUUUUUUAGGAAUUGUAAAUACAUUCUUUCAAUAUAUAUAACAAUAUUUAAACGAUAUAAACCUAUUUUACUUGAAAAUCAUCUCUGCAUGUUUUACAGUAACUUAGAAGUUCAGAUGUUACAUUUUUUAGACGACUCCUGAUAUUUUUUUAGGGAAAGAAUAACCCUACAGUUGAUUUUGUUUUAUUCACUGACUAUAUGGAUACGUUUUUUCUUCUAGAAUCAUUAGCGAAUAACGAAAGCCUCAGCAGAAUCCACCUAGUCUAAAGUUAGGCUUUUUGCAUCUACAUGGUAGCAAAGCGCCCUCUAGUUGAGUAAAACAGCUAGUUGCCAACCGUCCCUAUUGGUUACAAGGUUUAUCGUGGUAUUUCACAAUUUCAUACAUAUUGGCCAACAAUUAAAAAAAGUUUGGUUGAUACCAUAUAAUACUGUGGAAGGCACUUUUGCCAUCCAUGACAGAGAAUUUCUACAUAAUGUUUUACUGCUGAACUUAACCACAAAUUAAUGAAUAGCCCGUGGCUUCUUUUUUUGACAGCUUCCCGGAAAUCAGUACUGCACAUGCGUCGAGAAAAGCGUCGGGUUUAAAUGACGUCAUCGUUGUAAACAAAUUGGACAUUUAAACUGGCUAGUCGGAGAAGGGAGUGGUCAAAGGUAGACUCAUAUUUUUGACUCAUAUAAAUAUCGUGUGAUUGUUUUUCAUUCAGAUUGGUAAAAUGUAACGAUUCAUAUGCGGGGAGGGGGGCGUUUAAUUUUGCUGGAAUUUGUCGACGUGCAGACCAGCCACAAAAGACUAUUGGCAGACUGACGUUAGCUUACGCUAGUAGAUUUGAAGCGGUGGGAGGAGGCAGGGGAAGCGCCCUCUGAGUAACAGAAUAUUUGACCAACAACCGUUUUAAAGGGCAUGGUUCUGCGACUUACUGACGUUCACCCCAAUUUCAGCACCAGCGCCGUCAGAGGACAGCGAAAAGGAAGUCGUUACCGAAAUUGAAAAGUUGAAAAUCAACAAACCCGGAAUUUUAAAGAAAUCCUGUCUAUAAGUUCAGGACCAGUUCCUGGUUCACUCCUGGUGUCACCAUUAGCUGCUGUUGUGGGGAACCACGCUGCAGUGUUUGUCUCCACCAGCUCCUCGUCCUCAUUGACAACACCAGGACAUGGGCACAAGCGCAUCAAUACUACCAUCAGCCAACACUGUGCCUUUUUUGCAUCUUAACUGCAUAGACAGGUCUUAAACGUGACGAUGAAACAAGAAACCAUGAGGAGUUCACCACUCCCCACCUCUACAACCCAAGAUAAACUAUCUGAAGAAUUAUCCGCAUUGUUGUCUAUGCGAGAAGAAAACCUGCAGGACUUUACAGAGGCCUUACCACCCGAAAUGAGCCUGAAGAUCUUCGGUGAGCUGGACGUGAGAAGUCUGUGCCAGGCCGCGCUGACCAGCAAGCAG